UACGGAGAGUGCAAGCGUUAUCCGGAAUCACUGGGCGUAAAGGGCGCGUAGGUGGUCUGUUAAGUCUGGCGUUAAAGCCUGGGGCUCAACCCCAGAUCAGCGUUGGAUACUGGCAGGCUAGACGGCUGGAGAGGCGAGUGGAAUUACCAGUGUAGCGGUGGAAUGCGUAGAUACUGGUAGGAACACCCAUUGCGAAGGCAGCUCGCUGGACAGCACGUGACGCUGAGGCGCGAAAGUGUGGGGAGCAAACCGGAUUAGA
rnacentral:rRNA from 1 species